rnacentral:rRNA from 1 species
AUGAACGCUGGCGGCGUGCCUAAUACAUGCAAGUCGAGCGAACAGACGAGGAGCUUGCUCCUCUGACGUUAGCGGCGGACGGGUGAGUAACACGUGGAUAACCUACCUAUAAGACUGGGAUAACUUCGGGAAACCGGAGCUAAUACCGGAUAAUAUAUUGAACCGCAUGGUUCAAUAGUGAAAGACGGUUUUGCUGUCACUUAUAGAUGGAUCCGCGCCGCAUUAGCUAGUUGGUAAGGUAACGGCUUACCAAGGCAACGAUGCGUAGCCGACCUGGGAGGGUGAUCGGCCACACUGGAACUGAGACACGGUCCAGACUCCUACGGGAGGCAGCAGUAGGGAAUCUUCCGCAAUGGGCGAAAGCUUGACGGAGCAACGCCGCGUGAGUGAUGAAGGUCUUCGGAUCGUAAAACUCUGUUAUUAGGGAAGAACAAAUGUGUAAGUAACUAUGCACGUCUUGACGGUACCUAAUCAGAAAGCCACGGCUAACUACGUG